rnacentral:rRNA from 1 species
CGAGGAUUUCCAUAGUAACGGCGAGUGAACUGGAAGGAGCCCAACGCUGAAUUACGCGGUUUUAUGGCCGCUGUAACCUGUAGCGUAUAAGCUGUAGUCAGCUUGGCUAUCAUUUGCCUACUCCAAGUUCCCUUGAGCGGGGCUAGAUCCGUAGAAGGUGAAAGGCCUGUAGGAGUUGGCGGUGGUUGUCAAAUUUUGGCUGCGCUUUAGAGUCGAGUUGCCUGGGAACGCAGCUCAAAGUUGGUGGUAAACCUCAUCUAAGGCUAAAUAUGGCUUCGAGUCCGAUAGCGAACAAGUACCGUGAGGGAAAGUUGCAAAGAACUUCGAAGGGAGAGUUCAAGAGGACGUGAAACCGCUAAGGGGGAAGCGGAUAGAGUUAACAGAUUGAUGAUCGCAUUCAGCCAAUCAUUGUUAUAACUUAAGAUAUUGGAUGCACUCGGGCUUAUUCGAGCGCCAGUAACUAAGUUAUAAUGCUGCCAUCGAUUGGUGGGUUUGCCAUCAUUGUCGCGCUGAGGCGCUCAAAGUGGUAUGCUAAUGCAGGAUUUUUUUUUGUAGAGGACUAUGUUGCUCGUCAGUGUAGAAACCUACAAAAUUUGUAUUGGCAUAUUCGCUAUGAGUGUAUGUGAACAGUACCGCCCGCAAUAGUGCAUUGGUCGACUAUGUUUGGUUAUCAUUGGUGGCCGGCAGUGUUAGGCAUUUAACACUGUAUGGUUGUCAUUUUGCUAGCCCUUAAUCGACAUGAAAGAUGCGU